rnacentral:rRNA from 1 species
GGCGCACGGUGCGUAACGCGUAUGAAAGGUGUCCAGAACUCUGGGAUAGCCCCGGAAACGGGGAUUAAUACCGGAUGGUAUGAUAUGGUGGCAUCAUCAAAUCAUUAAAGCUCCGGCGGUUCUGGGUCCUCAUGCGUAUGAUUAGCUAGUUGGCGGGGUAACGGCCCACCAAGGCGACGAUCAUUAGGGGUCCUGAGAGGGAGGUCCCCCACACUGGUACUGAGACACGGGCCAG